rnacentral:rRNA from 1 species
UACGGAGGGGGCUAGCGUUGUUCGGAAUUACUGGGCGUAAAGCGCACGUAGGCGGCUUUGUAAGUUAGAGGUGAAAGCCCGGGGCCUACACGUCGAAUUGCCUUUAAGACUGCAUCGCUAGAAUUGUGGAGAGGUAAGUGGAAUUCCGAGUGUAGAGGUGAAAUUCGUAGAUAUUCGGAAGAACACCGGUGGCGAAGGCGACUUACUGGACACAUAUUGACGCUGAGGUGCGAAAGCGUGGGGAGCAAACAGG